rnacentral:lncRNA from 1 species
GUUGUGCCGUUUUAGCCAAAAAGCAUGGAGGUAAUUCAUGGCCAGCCCUACUACUGUAAGGAGCUUGAAGGAGCUGACAUACUGUCAGACACCUUUUACUCUAAUGAAUUGCACACUCCACUACAAACGGCUACUCGCCCAACUGCCUCAGAGGACAGGUAUCAGACAUUAAGACAGUCACUCCAACGAUGUAGGCUUCCAUGGGGCGCUGAAAGGGAAUAUGGAGGGAUGAUACCCAUUUCGCUCCCUGAGGAACACAGGCCGAAAUGUGAACCUCCUAGAGUCAUGGGCAAAGGACAUCAGCAUUAUGGAUUUGGUGGAGAAAUCUGGCCAAGAAAGCUUCCUGUUGAACAAUUUUAUUAUUUGUCACAGAACAAAAAAAGUGACCUCUACGGAAAUGAUUCUUUGCUGCCCAAACCACCUGAUUCAACAGUAGGGGAAAUCUGCUCCCCGUAUCCAAUUGAACACCCCUACCAUACACACAUCUCCCGUGGAGCCAUGUUCCCGACUUUUACAUCACCCAAGGAUCUCUACACUGGCAUUAAAGCCCGAACCCAACAGCCGUUCCCUCCCACGGUGCCAACAAAGCCUUAUGAUACAACAGUUUUGAAGACAAGAGGUAACCCUUACAGAUAUGAACUGCUUGAUUUUCCAAUGGAUUCCAAGAAGAAAGCAUUGGUUUGGCCGGGUCAGCGUGUGUAUUUUGAUCUUCCUAAAUGUGUUGAGAAAAACAAGCCAGUGUUCUACCCAAAACCACCUAAAACCUUCGCUCCUAACACUUCUUUAAAUUCAUGGGACCCUAUUACUUCUCUAAAAGAAGGCAACAUACAAAGAAAUCUCGAGAAGUCCCACUGGAUCACUUCAUAUAAGCAUGAUUUUACAGGUCUGGGGCCCAUGAAUCCCCUUGAACUGGAUGAUUACCAUGAAAAGAAGGUAGCAGAGUUAACUGGACAGAUAGGAUUUGACCCAGAGCCUCAAGAAAAAUUCCAUCCUGCCUUAAAGCCCACCAGACCCUUGGAAGGACGAAUUGCCCGACUGAUUCAGAACCAACGUCCUCUGGAGGCUAUUCUUGAGCAAAGACCAUCUUCCUGUCCAGAUUGCACCCCUAGAGUUCUGUGUACUUUUCAUACCUUUGUGCCCAGUUCUACGGAAAUGAUGGCUCUGAGUGAUAACAUAACCGCAGAUGUGACACUUAAAAACCAGGAGAUCGAAGAAAAGAUUAAGGAAGAACAAAGCUUGCUAUCUACCUAUGCACUCCCAUCCUGUUACCCAACAAAAGAUCUGGCUAAUACGUGUGACAUAAAACCAUUUCCAAAAAUCACAGAUACUAAAAAGACAGAAGAUUUGUACUGGAGACAGCUGUCACUGAAACCCCAACUUAUGCCUUACUGUAGCCCAGAUCAUUACAUUCCCUAUGAACAUUUAAGUCAGUAUAAUGUGUACCAAAAUCCUGUUAGCCUUAGUAAGCCUGGUAUUUUACAAAGUAAACCAGACUUGAAAACUUUUGAUUUUGAACACUUUUUAAGUAAGCCAGAACAGUUGACCUUGAAUAUGGAGGAGGAUGAAGAAACAAAACCUAUCCUGGGUUGGAUUCCUAGAGCUGGAGUGGCCAAACCUCAAACGGACCUGCUGGAGCUUAAGAACACUUUUUCAAAAACUGGUGCACAAAAACGUUUCCAUAAAUCAGUUCUAGAAGACUAUAAAGACCUCAGGGAUAAAGAGCACUUGGGGAAGAAACACCAAUUCUAUGGCUAUAAUUCCUAUUAUUUCUAUAAUUGA